UGCUCCUACACCCACUCCCUAUAACUCCUCCUCUAAAUGCUCCUAUACCCACUCCCUAUAACUCCUCCUCUUACUGCUUCUAUACCCACUCCCUAUAACUACUCCUCUAACUGCUCCUAUACCCACUCCCUAUAACUCCUCCCCUAACUGCUCCUAUACCUACUUCUUAUAACUCCUCCUCUAACUGCUCCUAUACCCACUUCCUAUAACUGCUCCUAUACCCACUCCUUAUAACUACUCCUCUUAAUGCUCCUAUACCCACUCCCUAUAACUCCCACUCUUACUGCUCCUAUACCCACUCCCUAUAAUUCCUCCUGGAAUAGCUGCUAUAUCCACGCUCGAUAACUGUUCCCUAUACGCCUGUUCUUUCUGUUCUCUUCAAUCCUUUCAUUAUCUCCAGGAAAUUAUAUCAUGAUAUGUUCAAUUAUCCCAUGCAUCAUAUAUAACUGUUAAAUUAUCAUAUGGGUAUUUCUAUAUCACGGCGCACAAUAUGUCUGAUUUAUAAAUAAACAUUUUGUUUUAGGGAAAGAGAAGAAGAUAAGGAGAUGGCUGAAUUCCUGCAGAGCAAAUUGUCCAAAAGUUAUCUGAAAAAAGCCGGUAAAUAAAAUACUACCAGACAGAACUCUGUGGUAGAGACAGACAGACAUUCAGAAUUCCUAGACACAUGGAUAGAUAAAAAAAAAGAAUUCUAAGAGUUAGCAAGCGAGAAGAAUUUAAAGAGACAGACACACCAAAUACUAACUUUUACCUUCAAGGGCAUUGCUAG